GCCUCCGUGGUAUAGCGGUCAAAACACGUCUGACCCGGCUUGUCAGAAGACGUGGGUUCGAAUCCCAUCGGUGGCG